rnacentral:rRNA from 1 species
AUGUUGCGUGACAACUUGCUACGGGCUCAGCAACGCAUCAAGUUGCAGGCGGAUAAACAUCGGAAGGACCGGGAGUUUGCCGUGGGAGAAGAAGUAUUACUGAAGCUGCAGCCUUAUGCUCAGUCAUCUCUUGUUAACCGCCCGUGUCGUAAGCUAGCUCUGAAGUAUUUUGGGCCGUUUCGCGUCACGGCUCGUGUGGGUGCUGCAGCCUAUCGAUUGGAAUUACCCGCCUCCAGCCUGAUACAUCCAGUCUUUCACAUAUCUCAGUUGAAGCCGUUCACUCCCAACUAUACUCCUGUUUUUCAAGAAUUACCAGUCCCACCUGAUUUGUCAGCGGUCACACUACAACCAGAGGCUAUUCUUGAUCGUCGGAUGGUGAAGAAAGGGAACACAACUAUUCCACAAAUCAAGGUACAAUGGCAUGGUGUCACUGCUGAUCAUGCAACCUGGGAGGACUAUUAUGUUCUGCGCGCUCGCUUUCCGUCAGCGACUCUUUGGGACGAGGCUCUAGCUCAAGGGGGGAGGAGUGUCACGGCUCCGUCAGAUCCGACGUCACUGGACGACAGACAGGUGGAACCAGGGUCCACCGAUCAGACUAGCACCGCGCAUGGGUGA